rnacentral:other from 1 species
ACUUCCUAAGCCGGAACGAAAAGUUGCAGGGUAGCGAUACUGCAAAACUUUUGGCUUUGUGGUUGUGAUGUUGUGUUUGCAAGUUGUCCGGGAGUUCCGGACAUAGUAGCUUAAGCUACUGUUUUUUUCACUUCCUGUACAUUUACCCUGUCUGUCCAUAGUGAUUUUUUAUAGUGCACCGCCAAAACGCGGUGCUUUUUUUU